UAACAAAUUUAUGUUCUUUUCUUUUAAGGAUUUGUAAUGCUUUUGACAAUUUUGCUUCUGCUACUGUAGAUAUAUUUGUAAUGACUUUAGCUUGGUUUCACAUUAUCAUUAGGUUGAUUUAAUAAAAUCUUUUUGUUAAGGCUAUGUGCAACUCACCUUUGACUAUAUCAUAUGCAUGUUCUAUCAGUCUUUGUUUUAAAAGCUUUGACAUGUUUUCUAGGUACUCUUUUUCUUGAUGAUAUAUACCAUAAAGUACAGCGAACCACUAAUAAAGAAGCUGCUGAAGGACUGAGAAGCAGUGAAUAUCAGCCAGUUCCAUAUGUCAUGAGCGAUUAUAAGAUUAUAAAAAGACUCGCUAAAAAAGUGAACAGAAAGAUUGCUUAUAAAAGACACCCCACCUUGUAUAACCAACUUAGAAAUAAAAAAGAUGAAAGAAAGAAAGAGCACAAAAUCAGGAGUUUAUAGAAUUCCAACAGUGAAUAAUAUAACGAGUAAGGAUGAAGCCUAUAUAGGGAUGAUAAUGAGAUCACAAAAGCACAAAAAAGACAUGGCCAAAGGAAAAAUAAGUGCAAGAAGUGCUUACGAGCAUGACGUACAAGUGAACUGGUGCGAAGCGCAAGUAAUUAAAUAUGUAGAAAAAGAGAAAUAUGCAGUAAUGCAUGUAACAAUUAACUGCUUCUAGUUUCAAUAAACCAAAUAAUGUAAAAAACAAGCACUAAUCAGCAGUGUAAGAUUAAAGUUCUUUAAUUCCAACUAAUUAUGAAUGUUUUUGGCAAUUUUACUCUCCAUCAACAGGUACAAAUUCUAAG
rnacentral:lncRNA from 1 species